UCAGGAGCUCCAAAGAGCCAAAACCCUAACUCAACUAAAACCAUCAAAUUGAAGGGUGAAUCAAGGCUUAAAUUCACAACCGAACAUGGAUUAAUGAUCAUCUUUACAAGGGGAUCAUAAGUAUAGGGAUCAUGUCAAGAUGGAUGGAAGCAUGGAAGGCUAACGAGUCAAAAGGAUGCGAAUACGGACACUUAAGGUUAGUUAGAUAUUCAUGAUGGACAAGUGAACAAGGUUCGAGUUGAAGAUUAUGGAUUGUACGGGAAAGUGGUCAUGUUGUUUGUAAUUAUUUGUUAACAUAGUUACAUUAAAUAAAUGAUGAAUGAUGUAUUUAUGUUAAAAGGGUUGACCUAAACGGUAUUCAAGUAUGAUAGAGUAGUUAAAAGAAAGAAAUUUUACGGUUCA